rnacentral:lncRNA from 1 species
ACGGUGCGGGCGGCCUCGAGGUGAGCGGUCUCGUUGGCACGGCCGUGAGGGCCUCAGGCACGGCAACCAUGGAGCGGGACUGGGCCAUGUUGACACCGUCGAGGAGGAGUCGAGGUCGGCCACGAAACUGGAGCAUGGAGGCGCGGUUGCGACGGCGCUCUAGGUGGUGGUGAGGUCGACACCGGAUCAGAGGGCGCUGCUGCGCCGGGCGAGGGCCGCGGCGGCUCCCUCGGAUCGCUGCUUCACUCAAACAUUUCGUCGAGCGCGUAGUAAUUUUGCUUCAGGAUCUCCUUGCGGUCGGAGAAGAUGGCGUCGCGAUCUCGGAACGGGCCGCAAAGAGGAAGUGGCGGUGCGCAACUGAACCCGGCGAGGAUUAUGGUGGCCUCGGGGCUGACAGCCUCAAGGCGGG